rnacentral:rRNA from 1 species
UACAGAGGUCUCAAGCGUUGUUCGGAUUCAUUGGGCGUAAAGGGUGCGUAGGCGGCGCGGUAAGUCGGGUGUGAAAUUUCGAGGCUUAACUUCGAAACUGCAUUCGAUACUGCCGUGCUAGAGGACUGGAGAGGAGACUGGAAUUUACGGUGUAGCGGUGAAAUUCGUAGAUAUUCGCAAGAACACCAGUGGCGAAGGCGGCUCACUGGCCCGGUACUGACGCUGAGGUGCGAAAGCGUGGGGAGCAAACAGGG